rnacentral:rRNA from 1 species
UACGUAUGGUGCAAGCGUUAUCCGGAUUUACUGGGUGUAAAGGGAGCGCAGGCGGCGCGUUAAGCCUGGUGUGAAAGCCCGCGGCCCAACCGCGGGACUGCAUUGGGAACUGGCGCGCUGGAGUGCCGGAGGGGUAGGCGAAAUUCCUAGUGUAGCGGUGAAAUGCGUAGAUAUUAGGAGGAACACCAGUGGCGAAGGCGGCCUACUGGACGGUGACUGACGCUGAGGCUCGAAAGCGUGGGGAGCAAACAGG